rnacentral:tRNA from 1 species
GGCAUUGUGGCCGAACGGGAAGGCGAAACUCCUGCAAGGGUUUUAUAGUGGUUCGAAUCCAUUCGAUGCCU